UACACAUUUUGCUUGUAUUACAAAUCCAGCUCCAGAUUAGCCUCAGAAAGUCAGACUUGCCCUCUUCUUUGUUAGCAUGCUAUACUGGUACACCUGUCCUCCCUGUCUCCACGACCUUCAGUUUGUCAACCAGCCUCGUCACUUCAACAAGCCUACCUGCUAGCCAUCACCAUCUUGGACCACCAAGUCAUUCUCCAGCACAACCUCUACCAGCUACCCCUUCAUUUCUCCCCUACCUGCUUUUUCUGAAUACAACUCACCUUUUACACCUUGACUGUAGUCCAGCCUAAAGUCGUGACUAAUUUACCCCAAACCAGUAUUUCUUUGUCACUUUAAAACAGCCAGUGAGAAAACAGUUUCCCUGUGUUGGUGACUGUUUAGGCAAAGAAAAAAACAAGUUGAUUUCUCGCAGUAAAAUGUCAGACAGCUGCACUGACCGCUGCUACCACUGACACCCAAUAUGCUUUACCACUCCUGUUAAUGCUUUUUUCAAUUUGAAACCCUUGUUGAAAAGCUGCCUAAUGCAUCAUUUAUUUUCUGCCCAUGACCUUUUAAUACCUGAAGGCUUUCAUCCUUGCUGAGGAAACCGUGUGUUUUCAUGUGGAUGAAGCUGUUUCUGAGAACACAAGCCUGUGUGGAAGGGAAGCGGAGGAGGUACUCCCUGGAGGAUUAGAACCAGCUCUUCCUUCAUCACCUCAUCAUGUCAUAGAGAAUCAUAAUGUUCUUAUUAAAGUACUUUAACAACAGGA